UACGAAGGGGGCGAGCGUUGUUCGGAAUUACUGGGCGUAAAGGGCGCGUAGGCGGCGACCCAAGUCAGAUGUGAAAGUCCUGGGCUUAACCUGGGGACUGCAUUUGAUACUGGGUUGCUUGAAUUCGGGAGAGGAUAGCGGAAUUCCCAGUGUAGAGGUGAAAUUCGUAGAUAUUGGGAAGAACACCGGUGGCGAAGGCGGCUAUCUGGACCGACAUUGACGCUGAGGCGCGAAAGCGUGGGGAGCAAGCAGG
rnacentral:rRNA from 1 species